UGUCUAUGUUCGGCAAUUAGCAACAAUAAUGACGCUGACGUGAAGCCUAACUGCUGCACAAAGUGGGAUGAACACAAGUUUGUCCAUUGUUGAACAGGAAACGAAACAAAGCUCAGAUCACAAACAAUGGAAGGCUGAAAAGGGAAGGAGAGAAAGUGAAUCCAAACUAAAAGGGAGAGAAUAAGAAGUUAUUACACUGUUUGCCGUUUUCGUUUCCACGUCUUCUGAACUUCUAAAGGCGUCGUGCGUUUUCGUUUCUCCUUAAAGUUUUUGCCACCACAUCUCACUGAACUGAAUCCACCACCAAACCCACAUUCGACCUCCAUAAAACCCAAAUCGACACAACCUUCUUCAACACCCAAACUCGCGACACCGUUCCUUCUUCUUCAGCCGAGCCACCGCUGCACUACUUUCUUUUUUUUCAGCCAAACCACCCUCCCUGUCCUUCGACCAGAUCCAUCUUCAGGUAACUAUUGACUUUGAUUGAACCCAUUUUAUCUGGAUUUGCAUAGGAGGAUUAUUAUUUUGUGUUCCAAUUCUUCUCUAUGGGGUUUGGAAAUAUUCUAAUCAAUUUUUGCUCAAGCUCAUGCUUUCACAGUGACUGAUGGAGAGAAAGUGGAGUAAUGAGGGUUUGGUGGUUCAUGAACAUUGGGGUUUGAUUAUUGGUUGUUUAAGUGAGGAACAGAACAAGUGAUUUUGGUCUUUGAGAUGAUAAAUAAUCAUGCUUAAGAUUUUAAUUUUCAAUUAUAUUUCUUCUACUACAUUUCAAUAAUCUUCUAUUUUUCAUUUUCUUCAGCUUCUUUGUGUCUGACAAAGGUGAAGCUUCAGGUUGGAACUUACUGUUUCUGAUCUCCCUGUAGCUGUUAGUGUUAUUAGGCAUUACGGAAAGCAGUUACAGACUUACAGUUUCAUUAUGAAUCUUUAUUUUGUUGCAUAGGUCUUCUCCCUGAAAUACUCUGCUUAUACCGUUUUUUUCGUUGUUGGUUCGGUUCAGUUUGGGCCAGUUUCUAAUUUUCUUUCGAUUUUAAUGAGAACUGAAGGUGAUUCAUUUUUAGCUGGAGUGAAUGGUUGAAUCUGGAGGAAGAUGUAUGCCAAUAAAAAAUAAUAUUUGGGGAUAGGAAAAUCAUGGCGACUGCAACCAUGGCCACUGCAGCCGGUACAACUGCUGAUUUCAGAGAGAUCCAAUCUUAUUGAAUGUUUUAGGGAUCCAAUCUUUCUCGGUUAAGGCUCCCAUCUGCUCUCCUCCAAGGCCAAGGGCUUCUCUUUCAUUACAAUGAACUGCGGUUGAGAGAGAGAGAGAGAUAGAGAGAGAGAGAGAGAGAGUCAGUCAGUGAUGGUAUGAGCCUACAGCAGAGGGUGCGAUUUCUAAUGGGGUUUCUGCUCAUGGAUUUUCCUGUGGACAGAGAGAAAGGACUUGAAGUUGAAGAAUUGCUUAUGGUUUCACCAUUUGGUCAACUAAUGUGUGUUUAGGCAGUGCAUGAUGUAAACUGGACCAUUUUCCUUUUGUAAACACGAUGUUGAUUGUUUUUGUGAACUAUUGGAUUGGUAUGGCUCAAGGAAUUGUUCAAAAAUGUGGAAGUUCUAAACAUAAGGAACCCAUUUCCCGCCAAGAAAGUCCUAUGUAGAACUGAGAUACCUUCAGAUGUAGAAAACCAAUGCUUUCAAGAGUGCACCUUUUUUCUUGGUGAGUUUGUUGCUCAGUCCCUCGCAUGUUGUGGCUGCUUUGAGCUGUGAAGAUUGCAUAUUAGAAAGAGUGUGGCUUCUCAGCUUGCUCAUCAAAAAGUGGUUGUGGUUGGGUAGCUUUACUUCUCUAGCUUAAAGUGGACUUCCUUUCCCUUUUGUCUUUGAUGUAGAACCACUUAGAAUUAGAACUUGAUGUAGAACCACUUUGACAAGUAUUUGAAUGGUUUGAGAUAUGUUUUUCUUCUUUACAA